GAUGAAGAACGUAGCGAAAUGCGAUAAGUAAUGUGAAUUGCAGAAUUCAGUGAAUCAUCGAAUCUUUGAACGCACAUUGCGCCCAUUAGUAUUCUAGUGGGCAUGCCUGUUCGAGCGUCAUUUCAACCCUUAAGCCUCUGUUGCUUAGCGUUGGGAGCCUACCUACCCGGUAGAUCCUCAAUGUUAGCUGGCAGGGUCGAGGUUCGCCCUAAGCGUAGUAGUUCUUUCUCGCUUCUGCGGCUGCCUAGGCCAUCGCCACAAGCCUUUUAAACUUCAAUGGUUGACCUCGGAUCAGGUAGGAAUACCCGCUGAACUUAAGCAUAUCAAUAAGCGGAGGA
rnacentral:misc_RNA from 1 species